rnacentral:miRNA from 1 species
CACACACACACAGCAGUGUGUGUAUGUGUGUAUAUAUGUGUAUGUGUGUAUAUAUAUAUAUAUAUAUAUAUAUACACACAUAUAUAUAUAUACAUAUAUACAUAUAUAUAUGCGGCGUGUGCUUG